GUCAUUUUUAAAAUAUCAACCUUAUUAAGAGAAGUAUAGCCAAACUCUUAUAAGUUGUUCUUUGUUUUUAUCUUUAAUUGAUGUUUUAUCCCCUAACAUAUUGAUCUUGCUUCGUAAUAAAUCGUGAACUAAUUGUAUAUAGAGUCAAAUUUUAACGAGACAGUUACACCAUCCGUGUAGAAAAACAAAAGAAGUUAAUAAAACGGACUACUCAACAGAGUUGUGAAUCCAAGCAAGAACUUUCGCAUUGUUUGACCCCCAAUAUCUAACUCCAUCACAUAAUUAUCAUAAGUGCUCUUGGGUUUCACAAGAGUUCCGCUAACGGAACCCCACAAUCUUUUUUCCUUAAGAAAAUUCCUUAUUACGAUACUCCAAUAUGAGUAAUUUUUACCAUUUAAUCUGACUCUAAUGGAUUGAAGCGAAUAAUCUCUUUCAUUUGCCAUUUGAAAUAAAGAAGCAACAAUUGAAUACAACCGAACAGCAAUAUUUAUCAAUUAAAACCCAACAGCCAACUGUGAUCAUCAAACUAGCCCAAAAUAAUAAAUAGUAGCCCAAAAUAUUUUUGGCCUGACUUGCCGAUUUCUUUAAAAAGCAAUAACCCAAAGAGCAGCUCAAAAUAGUUUGAACAAAAUUGUUUAAAAUAAACUCAAAAUGUAAGCCCAAAAGUUUGAAUCCAAUGAAAUUUACCUGCCCAAAUCCGAUCUCAAUUAAGUUUGCAGUUCAACCACCAAAAGAAGAUGCUUUAAAACAAAGGAUGGCCCCAGGGCACAUCUCCAAGUGGUAAAAGGGGAGAGUGGAGAAAUCCAGCUUUGCUUGAGGCUGCUGCGUCAAGGGUUCGAAUCCUGAAAUAUGGAUUUGGCUCUUGGGUAAGUGCAAGUGUACAAGCAGCCUUCCACCCUAUAUCCUUGGAGGCAUAACCUGCGAUUUACCUCCCUGGGGGGCCCUUAAGGUUAGGGUUUAACCCUUUUUUUUUUUUUUUUUUUUAAAAACAAAGGAUGACUCACAAUUCCAAUAAACAAAGGACACCAAAAUCUACAAAAGAGGAAGCCAGAAUCUGCUAAAGAAGUAUUCCUAAAUCUACCAAUUAAAACUACAAUGCCAGCGACUAAAGUAAUUUUGACCUGCACAAAAAGUUACCAUCUGUCGAGAAUCAAUCCAAGACUAAAAGAGGAUGCAAAAAUUGAAGAAACCCAAAAAGUGAGUUUCUUAAACCCAAUGAAGAACCCGCGAAAUUCAAAACGAGUUAUGUUUGUAGCUUUGAUACCAUGUGAAUAAUACGAAUCAGUUUGAUAUAUCAAACCAA
rnacentral:lncRNA from 1 species